ensembl:lncRNA
CCUGUAACUAAGCAAACUCAAAUACCACAAGAAGCUGAAUACAUUCAGGCCUUUGCUCAGCUACUAUUUUACUGUAACAAUAUACUCAGCAUAUGAGUUAUGAUAUAUAUAUAUUUAACUCAAUCAUUUUAAAGUAGUUAUACUGCACCUGUAAUAAACAUGUUAAUAUUUGAUUAUGAUAACCCCUAUAAUAUAAAUUAUAACAUAAUGCCAGCAGCUUCAAUAAAUGCUUGGAUGAAAUGAUAAUUAAUGCAAUGACAAGAUGAUGGUUAUGUAAAAUAGUCCCUAUAAUUCUACAAUUCCCCUUUUGACGUCUUCCAAAGGCGUCACUACACUAUUCCCAGGUCCACUACCUUCGCUCUGACCCUCUCUCUGCUACACCUUACUAACCUACUGUGUUCAUCUCAGGUUCCUGUCAUUAUUCAAAGUUGGUUCCCAAUAUCAUAUCAGGCAAAAUCACAAACCCUACUGCCACGUCUGCUUUGUUAAGCUCUUCAGUUAGACUCUGUACCAGUUUGCCAAUCUGUGUGUACAUGUCUCUACACUUUUAAUGUCUAAAUGCACAUCUGGAUGUAUGUGCACUUGUAUGUCUAUCUGCAUCUAUGAGUCAGUGGUUUUCAUAAAAACGCGUUAAAGUGAAGAAUGUUUCCUGACUAUUAACUCCUGAUACUGGAGGGACUUUCCGGGUUGCCCAACCUCUUAGGUUUGGCCUUUUACACUUUACUAAAGAAAUUUUAACAGAGCCCAAAGAGAUUUUUAUUUUGCUCCUGUGCUUGACAGGUUAAGCGAAGUUGUUUUUGUUUUGUUUUGAAAUUUUUCCCUUCUGUGUGUGUGUGUGUACAUAAGUAAGAAUAUGAUAAUCAACAUAAGAUCCCUGGUUUGCAAAUGAUUUUCUGCCCCGCUGCAGGGCAACAUCAUGUGGUGGUGAGUCUAUGUUGGCUAGUUUAAUACAGAUAUGUAACAGUUGCUUGAUUGCAUGGCCCACUCAGAGUUGCACAGUUUUAAUGUAUGUGGAGAGUGUUUUCACAGUUUAAACAUAGGUUACUCACAUUUCUAGCCUGAUUGUUUCCCAAUAAAAGUGAAAUCAAACAUUACAUUUGAUUUUACUUAUGUAUUUUCCUGUUCUGGGCUCUAUCCAUUAUAUUAACUUUAUUUAAUCUCAAUACUCUUUAUGUGUGUGAGCAACGCUUUUAGUUUUUUUUUUUUUUUUUUUAUUAAACACACCCCGGGUAAAAUAUACACCAUCCCCUGUCAGCCUAAAUCUCCGCUAAAAAAGCACACUUCAAAGUUUUCUAUCUGGAUUUAUGCCUCCUUUGGCUUCAAGCAUAUACAUAACAUGCAAAGGUUACUGUUAAUGCCCGUUAGACAAGUUUCCAUCAUCUACAACAUUUUGUUUCACCCGGCUCACCCUCACACAUUUCUUGUUCACUUAUUGCAUAUUUAUCUUUAACACCAUUUACCUCAGUAGUUGCUAAGCAGAAACAAAGCAACCUGUGGUCCACCUUUACCCUGUAAAAUAAACCCCUGUCAUGUUUGUGUCUGUAAGCAUGUUUUGCAUUCAUUCAUUACACUCCCGCCAUUCCUGCAAGUUAGGAGCUGUAAAGUUGAAAGCUGCAUCAAGUCCAGGCCUUUGGCCUGGCCUAUAUUAAAUCAUGUGUGUUUGUAAGCGUGCAUGCAAUUCACCUGCUAUGUUCUCAUCUUCCCUCAACAUGUAUCACCUGGACACUCUCACCAGUGAAGCUUAAAACCCUCUUGGAUAGAACAUCAACUCUAAACAAGCACAGAUAUGCAAUGUGUAUAAAAUGAACUAAACCUGUGAAUAGAAUGAAUGUGAUGACAAACCUAUUCAAUGCAAUAUGAACCCUGUAAACAAUAUUACUGAUAAACAAUGUUUCCUUAUUAUUUUGUCAUAAAAUAAAUCAAACAAAUAACUUAAGCUGUGUGACGGCACCUUGCGUUUACGCCAGGCUGUGAACUGCCCUAAAUCUACUUGCUACACCCCCUUUUCACCUAGUUUAAUUUUUUCAAUCCUAAUUUAAACUAUUCCUGACUUCCCUCAAUGCACACUGUAAAGUGUAAAAGAUACAGUUAGCUUUCUCCUGGUAAAAGGUCCUACAUUAUUUUCUCUACCUUUGGAAACAUCCUCUAUCGAGUUAACCCAUUUCAUUUUUCAAACUUAGGCCUGAUUUCUUCGCCCCCUUUAACGGGUAGCGCAUAUCCGGUCUGAACACUGUGUUUGGGCAAUUUACAAUUGUUGCAGGAUUUCUAUGUUAUGUAAAGUUCCUCUCAUCCCUUUUAUGCUUCCAUUAUAACCUGUGUCUAACAAGCUUUUGAUCUUCUUUGUAAUAUAAACAACUCGGUGUAUUUGUGCUCUGUUCUUCUCCUUUCUCUCAUCUGAUCAUCUCAAGCACGUCCUGUACCAAAUUUGCUUCCUCUUUUCAAGCCCACAUUUAAUUACAAGCUCUAACACAUUUGCCCUAUACGGCGGUCUCGACGUGUUUCCUGUCUACUUAUAAAAAUACCAGAGUUAUUCUCAGAACUCAGAGCUGAAGUUCCCUUUUCUAAGUCUGUAGGUUCAAGAAGAGAGCAAGCUGCUAGUCGGUAAACAACUUUAUCAUCACAUAAGUUAUUAGGUAAACGUCACGUAGACACAUUUCAUGUAGCUGAUAACAUAUAUACAAUUUUCCUUUGACAUAUCUGUAUGUGCACGCCUAAAUUAUAACCUCUUAUUCUAGAAAUCAAAAAUAACCUGAAAAUAACACUUUCUGCCUCAGUUUUACCAUACCUAAAUUAUCAAAAACCUAAACAUCAUCAAGUAAUC